GACAACGUGUCCGAGUGGUUAAGGAGACAGACUUGAACUUUAAAUUCAGAUAUCUGUUGGCUUCGGCCUCGCAAGUUCGAAUCUUGUCGUUGUCG
rnacentral:tRNA from 1 species